GAUUACUGGGAGCCAAAGGGCGGACCACCAAGACGCAGAUCACGCAGGCGCAGACCCAGCGCCCCGCGCCGGAGGUCCCAGCGUGCCCCGGGAGGACGACCGGCGGCGGCGCGCACGCGCAGAGGCGAACUCGGGCGACCUGACGUCAUCGGAGCGCGCCGACGUUCCCUGGGCGGUGCCGCGGCCUCGGCCCGCGCGGCCCCGCCUCACCGAACCCGCCCCCGACAGGACCCGCCCCCCAGGUCCGCGGAGCGGGGGUGACCCCGGCCCAGAGGACCCCUCGCCCCACGCUGGCGAGCGCGCGUAUCCCCGGGCUGCGUGGCCUCAGUGGCGUCCGGCGUGCGUCCACGCGCGGCCCGACCAAGACCGGCGCCGAGCCCGAAGCAGCAGGCCCGUCUGUACUCCCAGGACAUAAGGCAGAUCCGACCUGGAUGGGAACCGCGCCUUCCGAAACCACAUCAUGUUCCGGGAGCGCUACGGCAUCAAGUCCAACACUAGCGACACUGUCCUGUCCUGUGUCCUGCGUUCACCACACACUUGACCAGCACAGGUGUUUUACAGAGAACCCAAGAUGUCUGGCCUCACCCCGUCCCUAGGUUCUCAGUAUGCAUUUUAAAAACAGGGAUUCUUGGGCUUCCCUGG